UACGAAGGGGGCUAGCGUUGUUCGGAAUUACUGGGCGUAAAGCGCACGUAGGCGGAUAUUUAAGUCAGGGGUGAAAUCCCAGAGCUCAACUCUGGAACUGCCUUUGAUACUGGGUAUCUUGAGUAUGGAAAAGGUGAGUGGAAUUCCGAGUGUAGAGGUGAAAUUCGUAGAUAUUCGGAGGAACACCAGUGGCGAAGGCGGCUCACUGGUCCAUUACUGACGCUGAGGUGCGAAAGCGUGGGGAGCAAACAGG
rnacentral:rRNA from 1 species